AAAACACGAUGAGGACACUUGCUUAGGAGAUCCUUGAAUCUUUCAUGUGCCUCAAAGAGUGUCACGGAGUCUCUCUGCCUGAAGGCUAAAAUCUCUUACCUCAGUCU